CUUUUUAGGGUUAAUCGUCAACAUUUCAUAUGAGUCUUCUAUUUUUAGAGACUAAUGUCAUUUUUUAAUGUAUCUCCUAAUUUUAGGGACC
rfam:Populus trichocarpa scaffold_11_contig_105, whole genome shotgun sequence.